rnacentral:rRNA from 1 species
AUUGAACGCUGGCGGCAGGCCUAACACAUGCAAGUCGAGCGGAUGAAGGGAGCUUGCUCCUGGAUUCAGCGGCGGACGGGUGAGUAAUGCCUAGGAAUCUGCCUGGUAGUGGGGGAUAACGUCCGGAAACGGGCGCUAAUACCGCAUACGUCCUGAGGGAGAAAGUGGGGGAUCUUCGGAUCUCACGCUUUCAGAUGAUCCUAGGUCGGAUUAGCUAGUUGGUUGUGUAAAGGCCUACCAAGGCGACGAUCCGUAACUGGUCUGAGAGGAUGAUCAGUCACACUGGAACUGAGAAACGGUCCAGACUCCUCCGGGAGGCAGCAGUGGGGAAUUUUGGACUAUGGGCGAAAGCCUGAUCCAGCCAUGCCGCGUGUAUGAAGACGGUCUUCGGAUUGUAGAGCACUUUAAGUUGAGAGGAAGGGCAGUAAGUUAUUACCUUGCUGUUUUGACGUUACCAACAGAAUAAGCGCCGGCUAACUUCGUG